UGGUGGGGUGACUUGUCUGCUUAAUUGCGAUAACGAACGAGACCUUGACCCCUAAAUAGCUCGCACCGCCCCGGCGGUGUUGCGGCUUCUUAGUGGGACUAUCGGCUCAAGCCGAUGGAAGUUCGAGGCAAUAACA
rnacentral:rRNA from 1 species